CAAGGUACAAUGAACUCCUUGUAUUUCGGUGUAAAUUCAACGAUUAUCAAUGAAACAACGAUUAUUAUAAAUUAAAAGUGUCUUAUUCUGUGCCAUUUGUAUGUCGUAUAAUAGUUUUAGCGUCGGAAAUGCUUUAUUAAAUGUGUUUUUAGUACAACGAAAAGUGGGCGUGUUAUUAGUAUUUGGUGCAAAAUUUAACUAUUUCUAUUUAAAAAUAACUUCAGGAGAAGUGUUCAAGUGCGAAAUAAACUGUGUUCGUAUGUUGUGUAGUGGUUUUGAACUGAAAAACAUACUUUCCAGUUGGGUAAUUUGAAAUUUUAAUGCGGUGAUGUGAUAAAGUGGAGAUGAGCAAGCUCCAGAUGCACCGGAGGAGCCUGGAGGCGAGCAGCGAGGGUAGCUUCUGUGAACGAGACACAUGGGAGGACGAUUGGGGAAGUCUGUCUACGCUCAGUCAGGUGGAAGAGGU